rnacentral:rRNA from 1 species
UGCAUGGGAAUCUGCCCGAUAGUGGGGGACAACCUGGGGAAACUCAGGCUAAUACCGCAUACGUCCUACGGGAGAAAGCAGGGGAUCUUCGGACCUUGCGCUAUCGGAUGUGCCUGCGUGAGAUUAGCUAGUUGGUGGGGUAAAGGCCUACCAAGGCAACGAUCUCUAGCUGGUCUGAGAGGAUGAUCAGCCACACUUGGAACUGAGACACGGUCCAGACUCCUACGGGAGGCAGCAGUGGGGAAUAUUGCACAAUGGGCGAAAGCCUGAUGCAGCCAUGCCGCGUGUGUGAAGAAGGCC